UACGUAGGGGGCAAGCGUUGUCCGGAAUCAUUGGGCGUAAAGCGCGUGUAGGCGGCCUGGCAAGUCUGGUGUGAAAUCUUGGGGCUCAACCCCAAGCUGUCACUGGAUACUGUCAGGCUCGAGUCCGGAAGAGGAGUGUGGAAUUCCUGGUGUAGCGGUGGAAUGCGCAGAUAUCAGGAGGAACACCAAUGGCGAAGGCAGCACUCUGGUACGUGACUGACGCUGAGACGCGAAAGCGUGGGGAGCAAACAGG
rnacentral:rRNA from 1 species